AUGAGUUUGCUUCAGCAAUACGUGAACCGUGAACUUCCUGAUGUUCAAGCUGGUUUUAGAAAAGGCAGAGGAACCAGAGAUCAAAUUGCCAACAUCCGCUGGAUCAUGGAAAAGGCAAGAGAGUUCCAGAAAAGCAUCUAUUUCUGCUUUAUUGACUACGUCAAAACCUUUGACUGUGUGGAUCACAAUAAACUGUGGAAAAUUCUGAAAGAGAUGGGAAUACCAGACCACCUAACCUGCCUCUUGAGAAAUCUGUAUGCAGGUCAGGAAGCAACAGUUAGAACUGGACAUGGAACAACAGACUGGUUCCAAAUAGGAAAAGGAGUACGUCAAGGCUGUAUACUGUCACCCUGCUUAUUUAACUUCUAUGCAGAGUACAUCAUGAGAAACGCUGGACUGGAAGAAACACAAGCUGGAACCAAGAUUGCCGGGAGAAAUAUCAAUAACCUCAGAUAUGCAGAUGACACCACCCUUAUGGCAGAAAGUGAAGAGGAACUAAAAAGCCUCUUGAUGAAAGUGAAAGAGGAGAGCGAAAAUGUUGGCUUAAAGCUCAACAUUCAGAAAACAAAGAUCAUGGCAUCCGGUCCCAUCACUUCAUGGGAAAUAGAUGGGGAAACAGUGGAAACAGUGUCAGACUUUAUUUGUUUGGGCUCCAAAAUCACUGCAGAUGGUGACUGCAGCCUUGAAAUUAACAGAUGCUUACUCCUUGGAAGAAAAGUUAUGACCAACCUAGAUAGCAUAUUCAAAAGGAGAGACAUUACUUUGCCGACUAAGGUCCGUCUAGUCAAGGCUAUGGUUUUUCCUGUGGUCAUGUAUGGAUGUGAGAGUUGGACUGUGAAGAAGGCUGAGCACCAAAGAAUUGAUGCUUUUGAACUGUGGUGUUGGAGAAGACUCUUGAGGGUCCCUUGGACUACAAGGAGAUCCAACCAGUCCAUUCUGAAGGAGAUCAGCCCUGGGACUUCUUUGGAAGAAAUGAUGCUAAAGCUGAAACUCCAGUACUUUGGCCACCUCAUGCGAAGAGUUGACUCAUUGGAAAAGACUCUGAUGCUGGGAGGGAUUGGGGGCAGGAGGAGAAGGGGACGACCAAGGAUGAGAUGGCUGGAUGGCAUCACUGACUCAAUGGACGUGAGUCUGAGUGAACUCUGGGAGUUGGUGAUGGACAGGGAGGCCUGGCAUGCUGAGAUUCAUGGGGUCGCAAAGAGUCGGACACGACUGAGUAACUGA
rnacentral:lncRNA from 1 species